CGGAGGGUCCAAGCGUUAUCCGGAAUCAGUCGGGUUUAAAGGGUCCGUAGGCGGUUUUGUAAGUCAGUGGUGAAAGCCCAUCGCUCAACGGUGGAACGGCCAUUGAUACUGCAAGACUUGAAUUAUUAGGAAGUAACUAGAAUAUGUAGUGUAGCGGUGAAAUGCUUAGAGAUUACAUGGAAUACCAAUUGCGAAGGCAGGUUACUACUAAUAUAUUGACGCCGAUGGACGAAAGCGUGGGGAGCGAACAGGAUUAGAUGCCCUGGUAGUCCACGCCGUAAACGAUGGAUACUAGCUGUUCGGAGCAAUCUGAGUGGCUAAGCGAAAGUGAUAAGUAUCCCACCUGGGGAGUACGUUCGCAAGAAUG
rnacentral:rRNA from 1 species